GGCCUUCAAAGCCCCCUGUCUGUCGGCAGGUUUAGGCACAGAGAAGGCUUCUUGUUCUUUAAGGAUUUGGCUCACAAAUAACACCCAGACUGGGCCAAGGCAACUAGCUUGUAAACCGACGGGACUGUAAGCAGACUUUUGCAUUUUAGUAAAGUGUUUUGGAGGAUUUCCUUCACCUUGCUUCACUUUCUUCAUUCCCUGAUGUUGACUGAUGUCUGAGGUGCAGACUAAAGCCCCUGUAGGCCUCUAUCAUAUGGACAGCGAGUAAGUGGCUCCAACAGAGGAGGUGAGUUUAUGCUUUUGCACUUGUCGUUUAGGUUCCAUCAUAUAUUGACGUUUAUCUGCCUUUAAAAGUCUCUAAUAUUCCUCAAAUGCAUCAAAAAUAAAUCAGCGGUAUUAUUUCAAGUAUUGAACAUGUCUGCAGCUUGUUCAUCAUGAAAGCAUCCUCCUCUACUCCAAAGGUGUUUCAAUGUGUCUUCCUGAACUAGACAGAGAAAAAAAAAAGACUGUCAUUAACAUUCUAGGUCUGCAGCUUUAUUUUCGUUGUGCAAUGUGGAAUCAUCUGAGGAGAGGAGGGGGAUGGGUGAGGUACGGAUUGAGAAAAGGCGAAAAAUAAAUCCACAAAUGAACGGUAAUAUUUUAGUUUAUCACAGUCUACUUCAGCUGACACCCAAACACAUACGUAACUCGUGCUGCCAUAUCGACCGAGCACACGAGGAGCACAUGGAUGAGACAUGUUGACCAAACAUAAACUCAAAUGUACCCUUAACUUGAAGUAUUCACUUAUGUAUUUUCUAAAAAUGUGCAAGAAUGUAGGCUAACACCUUUACACCCACCUAUGAAGCGUAAAACACAUUCACAGUCAGGCAGACUAAACCUCAGCCACGGAGAAGCCAGUUACGUCAGUAUAUUUUCACACUGCAGUACUGUCUCUUUGUCUGCUUGUCGGCCAGCCAGCUGCAAGAUGGAGGGCGAGAAAAAUGCUAUUAGUGGACAAUUUUGUAAGACGGAAUACACGGCUUUGUCAUAUUGUUACACUGAAGAAUUAUUUUAUCCAAAGCACGAUGAUUCAUUUUCUCUUGGUUUUUUUUUUUUCUUGAAUUUCUGUGAUGGAGUAUUAGUGUCGACGACGGGGUGUGUGCACGUGGUAUCGUGCACUGAUAUCGAGAACUUGAACUUUACAUUAAAGUCGAUGGGAGAAAGCAGAGCUGCUAACGCAAAAACAGCGAAUGUGAGCGUGGUGUGCGCGAAAAUUCUGUUGUGCACGUCAGUGGGGGAAGGGAUCCUUUUGUUCAGAUGAUUUGUAGCAUCACAACUGUUGUUUGUGUCACACAAAAAGAAACAAUAAAAGAGUUUAUCUCAAUUCUGAAUUUGACAUCUUGUUUCUGUGUAACAUCAAUAGAGUAAAUAAAAACUAAUUCUGUAGUACAAGCGUUUUUUAUGUUUUGGUUGGUUUUAAAAUAAUAAUCUUCUUAAUUAAUUCAUUACACUUUACAGUUUUUACAUUAAUAUAAAAAAAGAUGUGACUGGGCUCAGCUGUUUGAAUCCUCACACCUCACACUGACUCGACUCCAGACGAGCAACAAUGUCGCUGUUGAUUAUUGGGACCGUUUCUAAAACCACCCACCAUGUAGCUCAGCUGAUCGUGAUGCAGUCAAAACAAAAAUCCAAAUCCCCCCUAAACUGACUGGAGCCAAAAAAAAAAAAAAAAAAAAAAA